GGUAGGGGAGCGUUCUGUAAGCCUGUGAAGGUGUGUCGUGAGGCAUGCUGGAGGUAUCAGAAGUGCGAAUGCUGACAUAAGUAACGAUAAAGCGGGUGAAAAGCCCGCUCGCCGGAAGACCAAGGGUUCCUGUCCAACGUUAAUCGGGGCAGGGUGAGUCGACCCCUAAGGCGAGGCCGAAAGGCGUAGUCGAUGGGAAACGGGUUAAUAUUCCCGUACUUGGUGUUACUGCGAAGGGGGGACGGAGAAGGCUAUGUUGGCCGGGCGACGGUUGUCCCGGUUUAAGCGUGUAGGUGUGUGUUCCAGGUAAAUCCGGUUCACUUUAACACUGAGGCGUGACGACGAGGCACUACGGUGCUGAAGCAACAAAUGCCCUGCUUCCAGGAAAAGCCUCUAAGCAUCAGGUAACACGAAAUCGUACCCCAAACCGACACAGGUGGUCAGGUAGAGAAUACCAAGGCGCUUGAGAGAACUCGGGUGAAGGAACUAGGCAAAAUGGUGCCGUAACUUCGGGAGAAGGCACGCUGACACGUAGGUGAAGUGAUUUACUCAUGGAGCUGAAGUCAGUCGAAGAUACCAGCUGGCUGCAACUGUUUAUUAAAAACACAGCACUGUGCAAACACGAAAGUGGACGUAUACGGUGUGACGCCUGCCCGGUGCCGGAAGGUUAAUUGAUGGGGUCAGCGCAAGCGAAGCUCCUGAUCGAAGCCCCGGUAAACGGCGGCCGUAACUAUAACGGUCCUAAGGUAGCGAAAUUCCUUGUCGGGUAAGUUCCGACCUGCACGAAUGGCGUAAUGAUGGCCAGGCUGUCUCCACCCGAGACUCAGUGAAAUUGAACUCGCUGUGAAGAUGCAGUGUACCCGCGGCAAGACGGAAAGACCCCGUGAACCUUUACUAUAGCUUGACACUGAACAUUGAGCCUUGAUGUGUAGGAUAGGUGGGAGGCUUUGAAGUGUGGACGCCAGUCUGCAUGGAGCCGACCUUGAAAUACCACCCUUUAAUGUUUGAUGUUCUAACGUGGACCCGUGAUCCGGGUUGCGGACAGUGUCUGGUGGGUAGUUUGACUGGGGCGGUCUCCUCCUAAAGAGUAACGGAGGAGCACGAAGGUUGGCUAAUCCUGGUCGGACAUCAGGAGGUUAGUGCAAUGGCAUAAGCCAGCUUGACUGCGAGCGUGACGGCGCGAGCAGGUGCGAAAGCAGGUCAUAGUGAUCCGGUGGUUCUGAAUGGAAGGGCCAUCGCUCAACGGAUAAAAGGUACUCCGGGGAUAACAGGCUGAUACCGCCCAAGAGUUCAUAUCGACGGCGGUGUUUGGCACCUCGAUGUCGGCUCAUCACAUCCUGGGGCUGAAGUAGGUCCCAAGGGUAUGGCUGUUCGCCAUUUAAAGUGGUACGCGAGCUGGGUUUAGAACGUCGUGAGACAGUUCGGUCCCUAUCUGCCGUGGGCGCUGGAGAACUGAGGGGGGCUGCUCCUAGUACGAGAGGACCGGAGUGGACGCAUCACUGGUGUUCGGGUUGUCAUGCCAAUGGCACUGCCCGGUAGCUAAAUGCGGAAGAGAUAAGUGCUGAAAGCAUCUAAGCACGAAACUUGCCCCGA
rnacentral:rRNA from 1 species